CCAUUUUGUUUCGGAGAAAAACAUGUAUUUGGGACCAUGUUCAUGUAUUUGCUAGUGCUGCACACGCAUAACAAACACUGGGACGAGUCUAUGAAUUGUUUAUAUGGGAUGUUAAUAAUAGUAUGAAUGUGAGAAUAGGUACUUGUUGAGAUGGUGAAGUUGGCCCAGAAACAUGGAGUGAAGGGUACGAAAGGAGACUGGAAGGAGUUUUUGAAUGUUCACGACAAAAAGCUCGGAGCUUGCUUGAGUGACCCAACAAGGAGGUCGAUCAAAUCAUGCGUUGGCUGCUUUUCUCAAGACAUUUGCUAAAGAGGAUGAUUUGAAGUGCCAUGUUAAGCGGGACAUGGUGGAGCAAUUUACAAAGAAUUCCCCAGAUGAUGAAAUCCCCGAGCAGCAGGAAUGGGUGGUUACAAAGCUCAGUAGAAAAUCCAAGGUUAUGAGCUCAAAUGUGGCGCUUGCUGUGAUAAUGAGAUGGUUCUCUGUGAAGAUGGCACUGAAGCUUUGGUGAGAGUUUGUGUUUUGGAUUGCAAUUUACAGAAUACCAAACAAUGUACCUACUGAAGAAUUACAUGAAGUCCUUCCUGGGAUUUUACAAUUGAACUAAAGGUUGAGUAUAUCCUGUUGGUGUCUUUUCUUUCUUUUAUAAGAUCUAUAUUGAGCU